AUGGCCUCUUCUUCUUCUCCGCCUCCACCAGAACCUCCACUGGAGCCAGCAGGGUUGCCUGUACCGGAGCCUGCACGAGUACCUGCUGCAGCUCGACCUGCACCAGAACCUGCACCGGUGCCUGCAUUGGAACAAGCUGGAUUGCCUGAACCGGCACCUGCACCUCCGCCUGCACCGGCGCCUCCAGCUCCGCCUGCACCGAAAUGGGUCAUGCCGACCAUCGCCAACCUUGCGCAGCUCCUGCCAACGGGCACGGUGCUAGCAUACGAGGCGCUAUCCCCGACCUUCACCAACCACGGCAAUUGCAAUAUCGCCAACAAGGUGCUCACCGGGGCGAUGAUAUUGGUCCUCGCCAUCAUGUGCGUAUUCUUCUCCUUCACGGACAGCAUCAGCCGCGGCGGAAAGCUCUACUACGGCGUCGCGACAUGGGACGGCUUCAACGUGUUCAACUUCUCCGGCGAGCAAGAGAGGCAGGAAUGGACCGAUCGCGACUAUAAGAAGCUCCGCCUCCGGUGGCUGGACAUCGUCCAGGCCAUCUUCACGGCGGUGGUUUUCCUCACGGUGGCGUUCAGUGACGUGGGGCUGCAGAACUGCUACUUCCCAAAACCCGGCGGGAAUACUCAGCAGGUGCUCAAGAUCCUGCCGUUGGGAAUGGCGAUUGUGUCCUCCUUUGUGUUCACCAUCUUCCCAACCAAAAGAAAGGGCAUCGGCUUCAACGACAUCACUCCUCGCCAGACCGUCAAUCAAUCAAACGCAGUUUGA
rnacentral:rRNA from 1 species